GGAUCAUAUGUUGUCGUAUGACGAGAUGGUGAACAAAAAUGAAGCAUUUGUUGGAAGUAAAGCUACACAUUUUAGAGAUCGUCUUAGAUCAAACCCUGACUUAUAAACUUCUUCUGCAUUCAGAAAUAUAACAAGAAAAUAAUACUGUAAACAGGAGUGGAAGAUGUAAAACUAUGCAGACAUGCAUUGCGUGCAAGUUGCCGGAAAGACAGAAUUGUUUAUAAUUAUAUGGCAUCUGCAUGUGUAAGAACUCAACAUAGUUUUUUAAGGUUACAGAACACCUUUGAGCGUUAAUUUUGCCCAAAUUGUUUUUACUG